rnacentral:rRNA from 1 species
GAUGAACGCUAGCUACAGGCUUAACACAUGCAAGUCGAGGGACCGGCGCACGGGUGAGUAACACGUAUCCAACCUGCCCUUUACUCGGGGAUAGCCUUUCGACAGAAAGAUUAAUACCCGAUAUAAAGGAUGGGGAUGCGUUCCAUUAGGUUGUUGGUGAGGUAACGGCUCACCAAGCCUUUGAUGGAUAGGGGUUCUGAGAGGAAGGUACACUACAUUGGAACUGAGACACAGUCCAAACACGUACGGGAGGCAGCAGUGAUGAAUAUUGGUCAAUGGGCGCUAGCCUGAACCAGCCAAGUAGCGUGAAGGAUGAAGGCUUAUGGGUAGUAAACUUCUUUUAUAUAAGAAGAUGUAUUAUAUGAAUAAGGAUCGGCUAACGCCGUGCCAGCAGCCGCGGUAAUUC